GGAUAUUGGCGUGGAGGACCUUAUCAUCGGAUGAACCGAUCCAGCCUCCCCUCUCAGAUCAAAUGCUCAAUUUUCUCUUUGAGCUGGUAACAAUCUUCAGUAUCAUGACUGUGGUCACGAUGAUAGAGGCAAUACUUAUGUGGAUCGUGGCAUCUCGAAUUUGUCUGCAUCUUAGGAGGCGGAGGUAGCUUGACUUGCAGCUCCAUCAAAAUCUCUCUCCUAAGAGUAUUCAAAAGAGUGAGAUCACCAAAUCGCCU
rnacentral:lncRNA from 1 species